AUGAACGCGCCUACACUUAUAAAGAAACCAAGCAUUCAAUUUUGGAGAAAAUAUUGAUUUAUUUCGUAACGAUGUACGAGUUUCAGUUCUUAGAUGUUGUCAAACUGCUGGAAUCAGGAAGUAAACUCUCAUAAGAAAUUUUUAAGCAAGAUCAAUGAAUGAAUUCUUUAUUCAUAAAUUGUAUGAGCAAGAAUGGUCUACUAUGAUAGGAAAGGAAACAAAAUAAAAGCAAGCAAUUACACAAAGAAACUACGGUAAAAUUCAAUGCAAGGUACAAAGAUUUAUUGCUCAAUUUGCUUAAGAACAAUAAAUAUAUAUUUAUGUUUAAUCACGUUGUAAAGCAUGGAGAACUAUUUUUACAUUACAUUCUUUAAUAUAUGCUUAACAUUACUGACAAAGUUCGAAAUCCUAUCUGAUAAGAUUUUCAAUGAUAAAAUAUCAAGCUAUGCUCAUUAUUCUAAUGAUUUUCGGUCAAAUUCCUAAGACAGCCGUGGCCUUAUCACACAGAUCGCUUCAACAUCAAACAAACAAAGAGAUUUUAAGAUAGAAAGCCGACGAAGAUGUAUCUGACUUUUUCAUAUGAGCCAUUCACGUCAUAUGGGAAAGCGCUUGAAACAAUCGGAAAAACGUCCUCAAAACGAACAAUAAUUGAAAGACUUAGAUUUGGAAUAUUGAAAAAAACAUUCCAGACAUUUCCUGAUGCUUCCAACGCUUUAACGUUUUGAAAAGAUGGGCAGCCAUGCGGAGAAUCUGCAUGUUUAGACUUGCCAAAACCUGUUCAAUUUCUGUCUUCGAGUACGGCGAAAAACUAGCCUGUUUCGUCGUACUCAUAUCAAUGGCCACCUCGAUGGAUAUAAUGAUGCUAUUUUUUUCAAAGAAAACACUGUUUCAUGCAAUUGGUAAUUAUUUCGUGUUUUGAUAUAUUCAAUAAGCCGGUAGUCAAACGUUUUGAAAUCCUUGUUUGUAAUUUGAAAAGAAUUUGAAGAAUUGUAGGAGUAUUAAAACAACAGCACUUGUUUUGAAUUCUUGAAACAGCAUGGUUCAGACACAAUCAUCCUCUCUCAUGAAAUAAGGGUGAGACUGACAUAAAGACCUGACAAAGAUCUUCGCAAACAACCAAACUUUCGCUGACAUGCAAUUAGUCAAACGCACUCCAAAGAAGAAUAUUUUUUACUUUAAAAGAUUUAUUACUCGACAGAAAACAAAAGAAAAGCCCUGGGGUCGACUUUGGAAAAUAUCCGUUCAAAUCUGUGAUACUUCUCAAUGGAACUAAAGAAUUAGGAAAUUUAGCUCUUGACUUCGAAAGACCUUAGUCUUCGUCUUCUUCCGUUGUUUUCACAGACAAACAAUCGAGUUGAACCUUAUUUUCAGCCUGAGGGCGUAUUAUUGUCUCACACAGCAAUUAAAAGACUUUAACUCUGAAAUGAUUCCUGAUAUGUCAUUGAAAAGUUUUGCUUUAUGGCUAAAUCUUUGAAAUCCAAUUAAGAUUAGAAGUAAUUUAUAGUAACACAAAUUCUAUUAGGUGACGACAAUGGAAAGAAUGCGAAGCAUCAAUUUGUACAAUCUCAGCAAUAUUAAAAUUAUUUAUUUAGUUUUCUGUAGAACAACACAACAUAUGUAGCUUGUCGUGGAAAACAUAUUGCGAUAUGAUUAUCAAGACAAAAAUGGACGUUUUCACAAAAGAUGAAAAUCGGUGAAGUAUAUUUAAAUUGCAUGGACGACAUGCUACAGUAAUGUCAGGUAAUCGUUCAUUCGUUCUUAUUCAAAAAUAUGUUUAUACGUAAUGGCUUAUGUAAUGUAAUGUAUUUGAUGAUAUUGAUUUAUUAAUCAAAGCUUUCACAUAACUGUUAAACAAUAUUCUUCAUUAUCUAUAAAAUUUACACAACAGUCAUUUUGGAAAAACAGUUGUUAAAGUAUAAAAUUACAAAAACAUCAUAAGCAAAGACAAAACACCACAUAAACGAGAUCUGGCAAGCUCUCCUAUCAUUGACCUCAAAAUGUAUACAAUAUUUUGGUUCUGUUAUAAAACAUUAGAAAAUCUUUAUAAAUCAUACUGCAAAUUUCUUUUGCUUCGUUUAUCAUUGGAGAAAUUUUAACGUUGACAUGUCUAUGGCGAUUACGAUUAACGGACGAAGACCAAUGAAGACCCACAUGACGUCACUGAAAACAAUGACAUUGGCAAGCGGAAUAUACCACUGUCUUGAUGAAUAGUCCGAGACUACAUCACACUGUUAAAACACGUGCAAAGCCAUAAAGGCAAGGCACGUGUGUUUGAUAUGAGAACCUUUGGAUUGUGACAAUCUUAAUAUGUUUCUAAAUUCACAUUGCUUAAUCGACAGUUCAAAAUGACGUAAGAAAUAAUCACUAGAUUCAUACUUUACAAACAUUAGACUAUUCAUUGUCAAAGUUAUAAAGAAAAAUAUUAAUAUGGAACUAUAUACAGUAGCUAAUAUUCAAAAAUGCCGAACACUGUCUUUAUCAAGUACAAUAAACCUACACUUGAUGCAUCGCGAUUGCACAAAAAUGCAAAUAAUAUUAAUAUACCCAUAACAAGAACUGAAAUCGUUUAAUUGUUUAGUAAUUUUGUAGUGGAAAUAUAAAACAAUUGCUUUGAAAAA